AUGCGAGCUUCGCAAACCAACAAAUCGCAGCCAAAGCCGCUGCCGCUGCCGCUGCCACCUCCGCCACUCUCGCUGCCGUCGACGCCGUCGACCGUCCCGCGCCGGCGAAACCGCAGCGCCUCCUCCUCUUCCUCGUCUUCCUCCGUGUCCACCGCCUCCUCCUCCUUCUCCCCGUCGACGUCCCCUGCCCCGUCUCCUCGCACCACCUCACCCACUUCCGUGGUGCCCUUUUCGUGGGAGCGCCGCCCGGGACUCCCCAAGAGCAAUCUCGCGGGCCUUAUCUCCUCGUCCAGCGGCACCGCGGCAGUUCCGCUCCCACCGCCGCCACUGCGCCCUUCCACUCGCCGCUGCCGGCAGCGCAGACGCUGCCGCGCCCUCGACGCCCCCGCCCCUGCACCCGCAGCAGACCCCUUCGCCGCCGCCUUCGUGGAGUGCACAAGGGAAGAAGGCACAGACGACGCAGACGACAAGCUUUGGCUGACGCCGACGAUAACCAACUCCAGCCGCAUGGCGCGGUCGUGGCGACUCGCCGGCGGCGGGUUCCGUGUCAUCAGGUUCCUCGACCUAUACGGGUGCAGGAGGGCCAUGGACGUCGCCGACGGUGCUUUCCUUGCCCGCCGGUCCGUCGCACCGCGUCCACGUCCAUGA
rnacentral:rRNA from 1 species